AUAUUUAUUGCACAUCGGCAUUAUACGUGAUACCAUCCAGAUUGCUUCGGUAGGAUGUUAUCAUAUAUGUUGAGGAUAAGUUAUUAUCCUUAUUUGGUGUAGCAUAGACAAAGUAUUUCACCGUUUGAGUCAACCCAUUUCAAUUUCUACUAUGGGUCGAUAUAGAAGUGUGAGAACAUGU
rnacentral:snoRNA from 1 species